GACGAACGCUGGCGGCGCGCCUAACACAUGCAAGUCGAACGGAGUCAAGAGGAGCUUGCUUUUCUUGACUUAGUGGCGAACGGGUGAGUAACGCGUGAGUAACCUGCCCUGGAGUGGGGGACAACAGUUGGAAACGACUGCUAAUACCGCAUAAGCCCACGGAUCUGCAUGGAUCUGCGGGAAAAGGAUUUAUUCGCUCUAGGAUGGACUCGCGUCCAAUUAGCUAGUUGGUGAGGUAACGGCCCACCAAGGCGACGAUUGGUAGCCGGACUGAGAGGUUGAACGGCCACAUUGGGACUGAGACACGGCCCAGACUCCUACGGGAGGUAGCAGUGGGGGAUAUUGCACAAUGGGGGAAACCCUGAUGCAGCGACGCCGCGUGGAGGAAGAAGGUUUUCGGAUUGUAAACUCCUGUCGUUAGGGACGAUAAUGACGGUACCUAACAAGAAAGCACCAGCUAACUACGUG
rnacentral:rRNA from 1 species